GGAUCGGGCCUUUCAGGCAUCCUCUCCUAAAAACUUUCAUGGCCGAUCCCUCGCGGGUCGGCCCUUUUUUUGUGCCAU
rnacentral:sRNA from 1 species